GCGCACGUGGCGUAAUUGGUAGCCGCGCCAGACUUAGGAUCUGGUGUCUUACGACGUGCGGGUUCGAGUCCCUUCGUGCGCA
rnacentral:tRNA from 1 species